ACGGGGUAGGAUCACCUCGGUGACGUACCCCCCGAACGGGGAUAGCGGCGGGAAACUGCCGGUAAUACCCGAUAAUCUUCCCAAGUCUUACGGCAGGGGAAGCAAAGGUGUGAUUCCGUCGGGGGAGCGGCUGAGGUCGUAUUAGCUAGUUGGUAAGGUAACGGCUUACCAAGGCGAUGAUGCGUAGGGGGUGUGAGAGCAUGGCCCCCACCACUGGCACUGAGACACUGGCCAGACACCUACGGGUGGCUGCAGUCGAGAAUCUUCGGCAAUGGGCGCAAGCCUGACCGAGCGACGCCGCGUGCGGGAUGAAGGUCUUCGGAUUGUAAACCGCUGUCGGAGGGGAUGAAGUGCCGUCAAGUAAUACAUAAUCUUGGCGGUUUGACAGAGCCUCGGAGGAAGCACGGGCUAAGUUCGUGCCAGCAGCCGCGGUAAUACGAACUGUGCGAACGUUAUUCGGAAUCACUGGGCUUAAAGGGUGCGUAGGCGGCGGCACAAGUCAGGUGUGAAAUCCCCCGGCUCAACCGGGGAACAGCGCUUGAAACUAGGUCGCUCGAGUGAGGUAGGGGUGCAUGGAACUUCCG
rnacentral:rRNA from 1 species